AACAUCUUUGUAACCUUGGCAUCAAACAGAUUUCUGCUUACAUGAUAACAAUUAGCCAGACUUACCUAUGCUGAUAUUUUUGCACAUAAGCAAUUUCUCAAAACUUGCUCAUGCUUAUAUUUGCACAUAAGUAAUUUCAUAAACAGUUUCAUAAAGGGGUUCAUAUGGCAUAAUAUCGCAACAAAUCAUAAUGCUUGUGAUGUCAGUGGUUUUAAUGAAUAGCCUGUGAGUUCGAUUAAUUCCUUUCUGCAGCCUUCUAGGAGAAUAGCAAGUGUCCAUCACAUGUCAGUGGAUUCUGAUUACAUGUGUGUUUCUGCAUUCCUUCUGUCUUUGCAGGCCAGAUGGCCUCAUGUACCAGAAGUUCAGAAACCAGUUCCUCACAUUCUCCAUGUAUCAGAGCUUUGUCCAGUUUCUUCAAUAUUACUACCAGAGUGGUUGUCUGUACCGGUUGAGAGCUUUGGGUGAACGACACCAUGGAUCUCACUGUGGAGGGUUUCCAGUCCUGGAUGUGGAGAGGCCUCACUUUCCUGCUUCCGUUCCUCUUCUUCGGCCAA